GGAGAGGUGACAGAGCGGCCGAUUGUGCAGCAUUGGAAAUGCUGUGUACUGGCAACGGUACCGCGGGUUCGAAUCCCGCCCUCUCCG
rnacentral:tRNA from 1 species